rnacentral:tRNA from 1 species
UCCUCUGUAGUUCAGUCGGUAGAACGGCGGACUGUUAAUCCGUAUGUCACUGGUUC